rnacentral:pre_miRNA from 1 species
UAAUUUAUUUGAAGUAGAUCCUCAUCUAGUUAUUGCAGAUCCACACCAAACUAAUUAGAAUCACUUAUUAUCUCGAGUUCUGACUACAUCACUUUUCAUUCAUCAAAACUAGAAA